AUACGGAGGGGGCUAGCGUUGUUCGGAAUUACUGGGCGUAAAGCGUACGUAGGCGGACUGAUCAGUUGGGGGUGAAAUCCCAGGGCUUAACCCUGGAACUGCCUUCAAUACUGUCAGUCUUGAGAUUGGAAGAGGUGAGUGGAAUUCCUAGUGUAGAGGUGAAAUUCAUAGAUAUUAGGAGGAACACCAGUGGCGAAGGCGGCUCACUGGUCCAAUACUGACGCUGAGGUACGAAAGCGUGGGGAGCAAACAGGAUUAGAUACCCUUGUAGUCC
rnacentral:rRNA from 1 species